rnacentral:rRNA from 1 species
GAGUUUGAUCAUGGCUCAGGAUGAACGCCGGCGGUGUGCCUAAUACAUGCAAGUCGUACGCACUGGCCCAACUGAUUGAUGGUGCUUGCACCUGAUCGACGAUGGAUCACCAGUGAGUGGCGGACGGGUGAGUAACACGUAGGUAACCUGCCCUGUACAGGGGAUAACAAUCAGAAAUGACUGCUAAUACCGCAUAAGACCACAGCACCGCAUGGUGCAGGGGUAAAAACUCCGGUGGUACAGGAUGGACCCGCGUCUGAUUAGCUGGUUGGUGAGGUAACGGCUCACCAAGGCGACGAUCAGUAGCCGGCUUGAGAGAGUGAACGGCCACAUUGGGACUGAGACACGGCCCAAACUCCUACGGGAGGCAGCAGUGGGGAAUAUUGCACAAUGGGGAAACCCUGAUGCAGCAACGCCGCGUGAGUGAGAAGUAUUUCGGUAUGUAAAGCUCUAUCAGCAGGAAGAAAGUGACGGUACCUGACUAAGA